rnacentral:rRNA from 1 species
CCCCUAGAUGUUCUGGGCCGCACGCGCGCUACACUGAACAGUUCAACAAGUCUUAACCUUGGCCGAUAGGUCUGGGUAAUCUUUGAACGCUGUUCGUGAUUGGGAUAGACCUUUGCAAUUAUGGGUCUUCAACGAGGAAUUCCUAGUAAACGCAAGUCAUCAGCUUGCAUUGAUUACGUCCCUGCCCUUUGUACACACCGCCCGUCGCACCUACCGAUUGAAUGGUCCGGUGAAAUCUCGGGACGGCGGCUGGGUCGCUUGCGUCCGACUGCUGAAACUUGAUUAAACCAUAUCAUUUAGAGGAAGGUGAAGUCGUANCA